GAUAAAGUUUUUUUGCAAAAAUUACAGCUGUGUGGUUGAAAUGUUACAAGUUCCAAUAUUGAAGCAUUUAUGAAAUAUAAUUUGAAAAAUAUAUCGGCUGUCAUCGCUAAAUCUGCCGCCUACUCACACGCAUUUCCGUAAAAGAUUGCGCGUAACUGCUGCAAAAGCAUAAUUGUAAUCGCUGCUCGAGAAUCCGAAUAAGCCGCACCCCAAUUUUGAAGUUGUGUUACACAAAACACGUGCUACUACACAAUAACAAACCUGCGGAUUCGACUGCAGGGAACUGUGAUGGCUGCUGCUGCUAACCGAUGGCUGAUGAUGAUGAUGCGCGGCUGUAGACUGUUGCUGAUGAUGCGAGCUGGAAGUCAACGCCAUUUCCUGGUUGAGUGAAGAAGCUGAUUCUUUGGAGGAUGACGCCUCCCCACCGCCACCACUCCUAUGCGAGGAGUUGUGGUGGGAAUGAUAGACCGAGACCUGAGGUAGCGUUCCAGGAAGCAAUCCGUGAAGAUUGAGGACCCAAUACUUAGCUACCGAGGAGGCUAACGCUACGGCAGUACCUACACGCAGGUCCGCGGAUGAAUGGGGAGUACUCCCUACAUUGCCAAGACUCGCGGUCGCAGUAGCCAAACCACCUGGGUAUGAUGGACGACCACUUUGACCCGCAUUUACAUCCUACCGAUAUACAUUCAGACAUUUGUACAACAUUGAUAGGGCAUGCAGCGGCAUGCACCAGGCUGAAGACCAAUCGACAAAUGCGCCACUUUUCAUACGUUUACUUUUGGUGCAUCAAAUGAUUCCACGGAUAUAUAUCGCAGAUUUAUCCAAGGGAGUAUUUAUACUAUCCAAGACACAGUAGUUGGUGUUUCUGUGUUGUUCUGUACGUUGUAUAUGUACCAUGUGUGUACAUUGAGAAGAAAACGCUCUAUCAUACACCUGUCAAGCACCAUACAAACCGAUCAUAAAUGGAUACUCUGUUUUCAAGCUUGCGCACCGCACGUGUGAACGUAACCGAAAACUGAAUGCGAAGGAAAUACGCGGGAAAGAAGGAACGGUAUCGACCAGCGCGGCGAUUGGUUAAUGAUCGGUGGAAAGGAGAAACCCUCAGAGAGGGACCUCACGCGAUGAACGCGGCACGCACCCUCGUCUCGCACCCCUCGUGCUUUAUCGAUCCUAUCGCGGAAGCGCAGGUGACCAUUGUUGUUGUUGGAUCGGCGAAUUCGAGAACGCAGAUGCGGCGCACGCCGACUCGCUCGAGUACAUGUAAUGUACAAUGAUUUGAGGGUCAUCCUCGCAAAAGGGCAAAAAUAAAAUAUAUGGUCGACGUAAGAGAAGAUUGAAUAGCUCGCGCGCGAAAAGAGGGAAGAGCGAAAACAACUCUUCGGAUUACGAACGCGGCGCGGUUAAACGAGAUUUAUUCCCGGAGCUGCCGAUUCCGGGGUCGUGAUGACGGGGAAUCGACAGUUAAUGACGAGAACCGCAAGAGACACGAGGCAAUGAUACGAUGCGGUGUCGUAGAAAAGACGUGACUGAAACUCAACUAUGCGGUCACGACAUGGACACGCAUAAGUGAGACAAACUAACUGAAUGAAAGAACGUAUUGUUUCGCGCUUUUUUUUAUACGAGAGAUUGCAGUGAAAAACUUUAAUCGCGCGUGUGCAAGAUAGCGGAAAAAGCAUCAACAAAGGCGGACGAGUCGAGCAAGGAGACAACAAGAAGGAUGCAGAUGUUACACUGCAUGCGUUCCAGAACCGGAAGUGGACGGACCGGAUAACGAUAGGGAGUCCGUACGCACCUUCCGGCUAAAAAAAAACGCGUGUUUACCCGAGAAAGGUAUACGUUUUCUCUGUUUUCGAACGGAUUUGGUAAACGGAAGAAGAGCGCACUCGAGUGAAUACAUGAGAAUAUGUUUAAAGUCUACGUGUUUGAAGAAUGCAUUUGCACAUCGCAUAUAGUGAUAUUUAAAAAGUCAGGUUCAGGAUGAAUAAGAAAAAAUUCAAGUCACGCGCGUGCUUUCUUAUUGUUAGAUAAAUCUUUGCUUCUCAUUCGGUAGAUAGUGACAAAAAUUAUCUUACUCUUGAAAUUCUAUUUUUUAUUUGUUCUAUUCAUCAAGGGAGAAUAGAAAAUUCGAAAGAAAAUAUAUUAAUCGUAAUUAU